UGGGGAAUCUUCCGCAAUGGACGAAAGUCUGACGGAGCAACGCCGCGUGAGUGAAGACGGCCUUCGGGUUGUAAAGCUCUGUUAAUCGGGACGAAAGGUCCGCUUGUGAAUAAUGAGUGGAAUUGACGGUACCGGAAUAGAAAGCCACGGCUAACUACGUGCCAGCAGCCGCGGUAAUACGUAGGUGGCAAGCGUUGUCCGGAAUUAUUGGGCGUAAAGCGCGCGCAGGCGGAUCAGCCAGUCUGUCUUAAAAGUUCGGGGCUUAACCCCGUGAGGGGAUGGAAACUACUGAUCUAGAGUAUCGGAGAGGAAAGUGGAAUUCCUAGUGUAGCGGUGAAAUGCGUAGAUAUUAGGAAGAACACCAGUGGCGAAGGCGACUUUCUGGACGAAAACUGACGCUGAGGCGCGAAAGCCAGGGGAGCGAACGGG
rnacentral:rRNA from 1 species